UUAAAAUAUCUGUUGGGCACAAUUUCACAGUUGUUUUUGUGACAUUAUUUUUCUUAAAAUGCGUCAAAAAGCCAGAGGACGAUAAAUGAAACGUCUACAAAAUGUGCCACUAUUAGGGGGAGUUAAUCGAUUCCUCAUCAGAAUAAUCAUUACUAAAAUAAUCAUGGUUGCAGCCAUAACUCGUUCACAAUCAGUGGGCGGAGUCACAACCUGCAGCGACUCUCAGGUCUCACACACGUUCAGUCUGAGAACAUGACUCCUAUCAGACACAGCUUGUUUCUUUUUGCUCUCUGGAUUAAAGGUCUAACAGAUGGCAGUGACGUUGUCACUCAGACUCCUCUGCUGUGGGUCAACCAGAGUCAGUCCACCACCAUGACCUGCAGUCACAAUAAAGACGCUUCUUACUUCCAGAUGUACUGGUACCAGCAGCUGCCGGGUCAGAACAUGAAGCUAAUAGUUUUCACAACAACAUCUCCUCCAUUCCAGUAUGAAAAAGGCUUCAGCAAGGAGAAGUUUCCAGCGGACAGGAAGGACGCUCUGAGCGGAUCUCUGACGGUGAAGCAGCUGCAGCCUGAAGACAGCGGAGUGUAUUUCUGCUCCGUCAGUCAACACAGUGAUGAGGCCGAGUCAAAGAGCUGCACAAAAACCCAGCUGCUGGAGGCACAGUGAAGUUACACUUCAUCGGCAGCAGGGGGAGCUCUCAAUUCAAACUCUGUAGCAUCUCAACAUGUUUACAAAGGGCGGAGUAUUUCAUCUUUUAUAAAUAUUCUUCU